AUGUAUUCUAUACAUAGACAUAUAACUUUUACACUUUUAUAUUUCUAUAUAGAAACACAUGAAUUAUUCAGCACCCAUAGGCAUUUGCCUUUAUUUACAGACCUGGGGAGACAACAGCCAUUACAUUUUAAAUGGCCAAGGAGGAUGAACCCAAAAUGUGUGAAGUUUUCUUCAGAUCCUUCCAUAAGAGGAAGGUUCUUUGAACUGGCUGCACCAUAGGCCAUAUCCUAAGUAGAGCCAUGGAGACCCUUAUGACCCAUACCUAUACCUCUGGAUGGCCUGCAAUUAGAAAAUCUGAAGUAACGGGAAGACCAUGAAAAGGAAAAGAAUGAUCAACCCUUGUGGCACCUAAUUAACUUGGGACAUUCUUCUAUUGUUCCUUAUUCCCACCUCAAUUGGUAAGGCAAUUGGACUUUGUAACUGACCUUGGUCAACCUUGUGACUCCGACCCUACGACCCCCUCCUACCUUGCAAAAACUACCCUAAACUGUAAUUUCUGUUAACUUUCCAUUGCCUACCCCAAACCUAUAAAACUGACUCUAUCCCACCGUCCUGCGCUGACUCUCUUUUGGGACUCAGCACACUGCACCCAGGUGAAUAAAAAGCCAUGUCUGGGAGAUCACACAAAGCCUGUUUGGGAGGUCUCUUCAUUCAGAGUGCAUGUUUAACAUUUUCUCUUCAACUUCAGAAUAAAAUCCAAAAUCUCCAGCAUGACAUUCAAGGUGUUUCUUAACAUAGGAAAGUCUACAUUUGAUUUUUCUUAACAAAGAUUCUACUCACUUCUCUAGCCUUUACUUUCAUCCUUUAUAGUUUCUACAGCCCUUUAUUUUUCAAAGUUUCAUGCAGUUUCCUCAGCCUAAGUUGCUGCUGUCUCUGUUUUUGAAGAUAACUCUUUCACCUGGAAUGACAAAAAUGUGCCUUGGCAUUUAUCAAGCUAUAUUAGUUUUCUUUCUCCCUGAUUAGCCUAUCAGCUCCUUGAAGGCAGGAACUAUAAUUUUUGUCUCUUUUUUCCCUAGUCAAGUAGAGUGGCUGACAAAUAAUUAAUACAAGCCUUUGUUGUAUAAAUGAAUGGACAAAGGUGGGCAACUAAUUUCUUUGAGAACAUUAUGGUUAGCUAUUUAGUGACUUAUUGAGUUGUUGUUAAUAAAAUAAAGGAAUUUUCUUGUUAAUUCUUUUUUUUGUUUUUUGAGGUGGAGUCUUGCUGUGUCCCCCAGGCUGGAGUGAAGUGACAUGAUCUUGGCUCACUGCGACUUCCGGCCCCCAGGUUCAAGCGAUUCUCCUGCCUCAGCCUCCCAAGUAGCUGGCAUUACAGGCAUGUGCCACCAUGCCUAGCUAAUUUUUGUAUUUUUAGUAGAAACAGGGUUUCACCAUGUUGGCCCAGCUGGUCUUGAACUCCUGAUCUCAAGUGAUCCACCUGCCUCGGCUUCCCAAAGUGCUGGAAUUACAGGCAUGAGCCACCAUGCCUGGCCUUCCUGUUAACUCUUUAUUGGUAAUUUUCUUCUUUGUUCUUGCUACUCAUCUAAAAGGAUAAGAUGUAAUAGCACUUAAACAUUCCAUAGUUCAUUAAACUAAAACAUUAAUCAUUAUUUUUCUGUAGAUACCAUCUGAUUUGUAAUGGGUUAAGGAAGUAAAUAUGUUAGCAAAUUAGAAUCUCUAUUUUCAGUAAAAGAGUGAAAAAUUAUGUAUCUUCCUUGAAUAUUUUCUAAUAGAUAAGCUGCUCUGUGGGUAGAAAAACUUUAGAAAGAUUGGAGAGUGUCCAAUUCAAAUAAAGCAAUGUUCAGUCUGUUUAAUUAAAAAAACAGAUGGAUUAUCUGGUCUGCUGAUGGCUAGAAGCUUUAUGAAGAUGACAUCUCUCUUUAUUCAGAAGGAAAUAGAAGAGGAGACUACCUAUUGAAGAAGUUUUAUAUUUUUAUCAACCUCCUCAGUGUCUGUUCUCAGCAUACUGCUGACUUUUAAAAAGAUCAGAUAGGAAUCAGAGAGGAUUAAGGGUGAGUCCCUUAAAACAUGGUAAGAAUCUGUUGCAUUUUUUAGAUGACAGAAGGUCUUAAGUAUGCCAUUUAGAAACUCACUUCCAAAUAUAUCUUAUGCUUAUUUGUAUAUUUUGUAUAUUUCUUCUUUUAUUUCAGGACAGCUUGUCCAUUUAGAUAGUAUUCAUGGCAUUAGAGAGCUACUUCUGGAAUUUUUGCUAUAUAAGAAAGAAUUUUCUAUUGUUCCCUAAGGCUUUUAAAAAUUUUUUUUGGUAGGUUUCAUUAAGUUCAUAUUAUUCAUUCAUGAACUAAACAAAUAGAGAUUGAUAUACAUUUAGUUCUUGCUCACAUUGAACUUACAGUCAAGAAGGGAGAUAGAGUUUAAUCAGAUAAUCUUACAAAUGAAUUUGAACUUAUGAUCAGUACCAUAAAGAACAUAUGCGUGGUAUCCUGAGGGUAGUCAUUUGAAGGAUGAGUAGAAAUUAUCAGAUAAAUGUGAAAGUGGUGGUGAAAGUGGUGGGAGGUACUGGGAGAGAGUAUUUGAGUUGAGGGAGCAUUAUGUGCAAAAGACAAAUGAUGGAGGGACAUGUAAGAUUCAAAUUAUGAAAGAAAGCCAUUGUAACUGGAGGACAGACAUAGCUCUGAGUCGUGUGGGGACAUGAUGGAGUUAUGGUUAGACCUGACCUUGCAGAAUUUUGAGGACCCUGGUAAAGAUAUUGGUCUUUAUCGAGAGAAAUGGAAAGUCACUGAAGUAUUCUGAAUAGCAGGGUUGACAUAGUAAUAUUUGUAUUUUGAUGAGAUCAUUCUGGCUGCAAGUGAAGAAUGGAAGGAAAAGUUACCCUAGGGACUAGUUAGGAAGCUCUUAUGAGAUUACAGGUAAGAAAUAGUGGGAAUUUGGACUUAGAUGGACAAGUUUGCCCCAUAUAGUUGUGUAGCUAAUGCACUGCAAAAAAGCUCCCAGCUGUACUUACUCACAAGACUACAUCUAUUCAAAAGGAGUGUCAGUUGAUGAUGGGUGAGAAAUGUGAAUUAAAAGAUAAGGAAAGUGAAGGAUGGCUCCUGAGUUAUGGACUAAGCCAUCAGUUGGAUGGCGAUGUUAUUCAAUAUACAUGGUUAAAUUUGUGACAUGAAAAAUAUCUUUCUGUGGGUUGAUGUGUUUUUUUUGCAAUGUACCCCCAAGUACUCUCUCUAGCACCAUUGUCUACUACUUGUCUGGAUGUACAGCACUGCCUAGCCAUAGUAAUGAUGCAGAGUUCCUGAGAACUGAAAGGCAAUUUCAUGCUUCCAUGCCUUUGCUAAUGCUAUUUUCCCUGACUAGAUUAGAAUAGCUUUCCCCUCUUACUAGACUGAAAAACUCCUGAUUGAAAAUUUAAGGUCU
ensembl:lncRNA